rnacentral:rRNA from 1 species
GAUGAACGCUAGCUACAGGCUUAACACAUGCAAGUCGAGGGGUAACGAGAGGAAAGCUUGCUUUCCUUGUCGACGACCGGCGCACGGGUGAGUAACGCGUAUCCAACCUGCCCCCAACUAGGGAAUAACCUUGCGAAAGUAAGACUAAUACCCUAUAAUUUCCUCAGAUGUCAUCUGACGAGGAAUAAAGAUUUAUCGGUUGUGGAUGGGGAUGCGUCUGAUUAGCUUGUUGGCGGGGUAACGGCCCACCAAGGCAACGAUCAGUAGGGGUUCUGAGAGGAAGGUCCCCCACACUGGUACUGAGACACGGACCAGACUCCUACGGGAGGCAGCAGUGAGGAAUAUUGGUCAAUGGGCGAGAGCCUGAACCAGCCAAGUCGCGUGAAGGAAGACUGCCCUAUGGGUUGUAAACUUCUUUUGUAAGGGAAUAAAAAACGUUACGUGUAACGUCUUGUAGGUACCUUACGAAUAAGGAUCGGCUAACUCCGUGCCAGCCGCCGCAGUAA